AACCACAUCAAGGUUCGUCUCCUGAGGCCUCAGCGGCCGGAUCAUGCUUAUGGCAUUCCGGUUCAUUCCAAACAUCCGCUCCGAACAUAACUGUGGCUGGCUCAGGUGCCUUUUGAUUUUACUACACAAGGAGGAGACUCUGCUUGGGACAAGACGCAUCCAAAUGUCAGAUUGCUCAGGCUCUGCCCUUCUGAGGGCUUUGGUGAGGAGACACCGGACAUCUUCUUCUCUUGGAGUUCUGUAAGGUCAUUAAGCAAAAUGGAGUUGAAUUUUUUUUAUAGCGGCUUAUUAGAACUGCUGAAUGAAAACAUAUAAGGACUUGAAUAAAACACU